UACAAACUAGGGAAAUCAAAUUCAGAGAGAACAUCAGCUACUCAAUGUAGAAGGGAUGGGGUAAGAGAAGAGAACAAGCACUCCAACCCAGAUGUCCUACUAUCAAGUUUAUCUUCCAAUGGCCCCAAGAGAUAAAAAAUAUUGACAGAUGAAGAACCCA
rnacentral:lncRNA from 1 species